UGGCUAUAUAAGGUAAGCAGUUUGUUAAAGAUAAAUCACCUUGUGGAUAAGUGCAUCUAUAUUGGCAAAUACUGUAUAAAUUGAAACAAGUUGGUCAUCAUUUUACACACAGUAGCAAAGAUACUGAAACUCUGUUGAGCCCUGAGGAAAUUGGUACACUUUGUUACUAAUUGCAUUGUUAUUAAAGAACUGUAAUUAUACAGCUAUAUGUCUUGACACACUUCAACUCUUAAAGCUAUACUUGAGUAAAAAUUU
rnacentral:lncRNA from 1 species